AAUAGGGUAGUUCUGAUUUAGUACCAGAUUUCGUUAGAGAUGGGUCGAUAAUAGUUCGAUCUUCAAUUCUUUGAAAGAUUCUGAUUUGUUUGCUCUAAUCCUGUUUAAUCUGGGGAUAGCUCUCGCUUUAAUUUUGCAGGAACCCAAGGACACCUUGGUACUAGGAUGGAUGAUCAACCGAAUCAUGGCCGUUGAUAUCUACCCAUAGAACUAAAACCACACGAAUUUCUUUUAUUUCCCAUCACAAUACAGAUUUUGGAGAAAUUUCUCUCAUUUUGUUUUGCGUUUGUUUUGUUCGGAAUUAGGUUUGAGGUUCCUCUUUUUAAUCGACGGAGGACAUUAUUGAUGGAGUAACUGAUCUCAACAUCGAAAUCUCCCUCUUCUUCUAUGGAAACUUGCCAAGGUGUACCCUGAUCCAUACAUGAUUAACAUUAUGCAAUGGCUAGCAUUGGAACAAGGGUGAUCAUAUUCUUAUGCCAAGAUCUAAUUGGGCAAUGCACUUUGCAGGAAAUGACAAUUCAAUGAUGCAAGGGGAUUCAAUGGAGGUAUCAGAAGCCUUUAUCAGCAGAUACAGAAUCUCCAGGACAAUUCUUAUAUGGUCGACAAAUGCAUGAAUAAGAUCAUUCUUUUGAUAGUACUGGUAGUGAACGUAGAGGUUAUAUGAAACAUGGUGGUCGUGGUGGGGUUUAUAGGAUCACGGAGGUGGUGUUGUGGUUGUAUAUAAAACUUAUUAGGUAGAAGUGAUGGGGGCUGCUGCAUUGGUGGGUGGAUAGAGGCGGUUGAGGUGACAGUGGUUUUAAUGGCGGGUGUACAUUUGCCAAUACCUUUCAAGCAUUUAAGCACCAUUGUUUAGUUCUCAAUGGAUAACUUCUCAAGCACAGAGAGUAUUUUGGAUUCAGAGAGUAGCAAAAACUGCGGUCAUUCUCUAUAUGGCACAAUAAGUUGAAUGAGAAUUCAAUCAAAUGGCUGGGGUUUAGAGACGCUCUUAGUGGCCAGAUGCUUUAGGAAAAUUGGAAUCCGUCUCAGAUGUUACCAUGGUAUUUUUUUGAUACCCAAGAUAGGACUAGCGAAGUGCCAAAGAGGGAAAUAGAAAUCCAAAAUGCAAAGUUUGUCGGUAUUUUGAGAUGAAGGUACUAGAUAAUCACGUUGUUUAUCUAUAGCAGCUUCUUUUGCUUUUUGCUGAAGUAAAUGGAUCGGAAUGAAGGUAACUUUGUGGGAAGAAUGCUGCAUAUCAGUUGUGGGGGAAUGAAGAUGGAAAUGUGCCCGUAAUUGUUAUAAUAACUGCAACGUUCGUAAUCGAGUUUCGAGGUACACUUGGAUUGGCCACAAACACUGCGUUAAAGGUAUUGGUCAAUCUGGCCAUAUCUGAGGUCAAUGAAUUAAGAAAAAAUGCAAGUAUGCAUCAUCUGAAGUGGAAAGUGUAAAUAUUAAUAAAUGCACACUGCAAAGAUAAUUAAUUUAUUUAGGCUUGGUCCAGAAAGACUAUGAGAUUUCAAAAGAUCGACCUGGCCCUGCAAGAUGAUCCCUCCGAGGAUAUAAAGACUAUAUAGGAAGCGACUGAUAUGCUGCAGUAUGAUGAUAACAAGAUUUUCAUGCAGGAGUAAUUCACUGAGAUAUAUUUGAUUUGAUGCGAAAGACGGCGGAAAAGUUGAUGAGGUGCAUGGAACACUGCUGCGAGUCUAAUUGCAGGUCCACAAAGUGGAACCAGAAGAAAGUUGGUUUAAGAAGAUGAUAGGCUCAAAAACCUACAAUAAUAAUACUGCAAGUGCACAGUGUCUAACUAGGAGAACAAUGGAAAGUACAGGUCGUUCCCACGAGGAGUGUGAAAUACUUCUACUAACUAAU